rnacentral:lncRNA from 1 species
GUAGUAGUGGUAAUCAGUGGGGUAUGUUUCUAGGGUGUGCAAGGCUUUGGUCUUUCGCUCUUUGCAGUAAGUGUUGUUGCUGCUUUCUGUUUGGGUUCAUGCUGCUUUUAUGAGAUGUAACACCGUGAAGGUGUGCAGCUUCAUUCCUGAAGCCAGUGAGACCACAAACCCAUCGGGAGAAACGAGCAACUCCAGACAUGCCGCCUAAAGAGCUGUAACACUCACCGCGAAGGUCUGCAGCUUCCCUCCUGAUGUAACAAGAUCACGAACCCACCAGAAGGAAGAAACUCCGAACACAUCCGAAUAUCAGAGGGGACAAACUCUGAACACGCCGCCUUUAAGAACUGUAACAACGGGAGGGUCCGUGGCUUCAUUGUUGAAGUCAGACCAAGAACCCACCAAUUCCGGACACAGAAGCACACAUUUACAAACAACAAACAUGUUCAUUAUAAAUUGUAACAUCUAUACCUGUGCGUGAUGAAGCAACUACAGGAAAACCUCCGAUUAGUAACCAAGGUUUGCUCACUCCAGCAACUUGAAAUUGAGCAUUUUAUAGCAGCAGGUGACUUCAGAGACUGGCCAAGCAAAAACCUCAUCUAAUAGGGAUCCUAAUGACAUAUUUAAUGGAGCUGAAGGGUCCUUUCACCCUUGGAACAACCCAAAUGCUUCUGAACAGUUGGAAGCUCCAG